rnacentral:tRNA from 1 species
UGGCUGGGACGGGUGGGAUCGAACCACCGCAUGACGAUACCAAAAACCGUUGCCUUACCGCUUGGCUACGUCCCA